AUAUCCUUGGGUGAGGAUUUACAUAAGUAAAUAAAAAGGCCCUAUGAGAUUGACCUGUAGCAUUCCAGAUGCUGCAGUAGACAUGGGCAUCUGUACUGAGUGUGCCAGUUUGAAUAAUGGAUCUUAAGGUAAGACUUCUUGGGGAAUGAAGAAUAACCUGUAGUGCCAGCACCCUAGGACAUACACCAUGGAGCUAUUGUAUUAACCUGGCCUUGGGUAACUCCAACUUGUACCCUUUGGUGCACUCUCAUAGCCCCAUGGGGGGAGGGUCUUCCCUAAGACUUGCUUAUACAACCUACCAUAACUGGUAAAUGGCAAACUACUAUUCAAGUAAAUAACCCUAAGAAACUUAUUUGAGUAGGUACCUUAAUUACUUCCACCUGGCAGAUUCAGACUCUUCCUCUCACAGCUAGCAUUCUAGGCUAGGGGGUGUCACCAGUAAAAGUUAUGGUAUAGGAGACCAGAGAGACCACCUGAACAAGGAUAAACAGGACAGAGAAACAGUCUUUAAACUACCCACUGGUGCUGAUGUGCCUCUGUUGAUUCCUGCUAAACAUUUGUCUUAUUUUCUUUAGGUCAGUGCAGGCUGACAGCAUUGUGAGAUGAGUUGAAGAAGUGGAUCUCCGGUCCAAUGUUUUGGAUUGUUGGGUAUAUUGAAAGGUUCCCUGCUCUGCUACUGCUGGGCUAUUUUGGAACACAAAUCCAGUCAACGAUCCUAUGUCAACAUGGUUUGGAAACUUGUCUUGGGGCUGAUGAUCAGCUUUAUAUAUUCUGAUACUGGGUUUGCGAAGAUGUAAUGGGCAGAUUACAGAGAGUGGAGAAGAAAGGUACCCAUGUUGGGAUGGAGCCUGUGAAUUGAUGUGUGAAUGCAGCAGGUCCUCGGGUUACGUCGAAGAUCUGCUCCUAUGGCGCAACGUAACUCGAUUUUCGACUUAAGUCAGAACCCACCUACAUAAGCACCUACGUCACUCACAUGGAGCACAUACACAGCAGUAAUGAAGUGAAUUAGUAAAAA